rnacentral:lncRNA from 1 species
UGCUUCUGGCUGCCCGUAUUCAGACGUGAACUUGAAAAAGGAGGCAGCUCUUCGUGAUCAUCUGAGACAACAAACACAGGCAAAUCUGCAAUUAGUCUUCACAUUCAAACUCCAAAGACCUCUGUGCUUUGAACUUCAGUGGAAAACGUGGAAAGCUGAACAGUCAGUCCAGCUGCUCACUACUGAAGUUUGAGCCCUCUUUCUGUUGUUAAUAUUCUUUCCUACAAGAACAUUAGGAAGCGGAGACCUCUAGAGUUUGAAGACGCACUCUGGCUCACAAACCUAGGGCACUGGUACUCAGACUCGGACCCAGGUCUGCCGGCACUGAGCAUAUUGGCGCCACAGGUGACUAAACAUCCGGAAGUAGGAUGCUCCACAGUAGCUGCAGAGGACCUCCUUUUAAGAGAUUGAAACAGUACUGCGUGCCCAACCUCCAGGCUCACCAGUGAGGGUGAAAUGAGAGCGCUCCCGUCCAAGUGCCAUCAGAAACUAUAUUUGCAAAGCAAGCAGAUCAGGUGUUUGACAAUCAAAGGAGAAGAAGCUACGGACUUGGAUAAUCUCUUCAGAGGUAAAAACACACAUUAGCAAAAACACAGACCGUACUUUUUGCUGUGAAGAAUGUCGUGCUUGUUUGGUUGGUUGGUUGAUCAUUCCAGUAGCGAUGUUGGAAGGAACCUGCCUGGACGUCAAGAGGCUUGUGUUCCGUCCCGACCCUGCGAGUAGUGUUCUGUUGCUUCACUGCUCUAACCCUUAAUUUCCUUACUUUUCAAGUGAAAUGACUAGACUCUGUAAUCUCUGUGAUCCUCACUCAUGACAGAAAAAACCUAAACCCGUCAAAGUGAAAGCCUAAGUGGUAGAACCUCUCCCAGCCGUCUGCGUGGAGGGAACCAGAACCGUCUCUUUGCAUUUUUGAAGAAGAGGCAUCGAGCAAAAGGCUGUAACUUCUAGGAGCACAGGGAGCCUGCUCUUCCAGGCAGGCCCAGGCUCUGCUCGCCGGCCAGAGAGCUUCUGGCCUCAUCUCAGCCACAAGGGGAGGAGGAAUCCUUUCCUCAGAAAGUGGAGAGCAGGUAAGUUACUUUGGUUUUGUUCUGCAUCUACACAUGUCUCCCUAAUCAGAAGAAUUUCUACGUAAUAUAAUGGGAUCUGAACGUUGCUUUAUUUAUUGAUUUACUUUUGGUGAGGAAGAUUGGCCCUGAGCUAACAUUUGUUGCCAAUCUUCCUCUUUUUCUUCCUCUCCAAAUCGCCAGUACUUAGCUGUAUAUCCUAGUUGUAAGUCCUUCUAGUUCUGCUUUGUGGGACGCCACCACAGCAUGGCUUGAUGAGUGGUGUGUAGGUCGUUGCCAGGGAUCCAAACCGGUGAACCCCAGCUGCUGAAGCAGAGCGUGAGAACUUAACCACUCGGCCACGGGGCCGGCCCACUGAACAUUGCUUUAAAUAAAAUAAAUAACGGAUACUUUGGAAACUGCUGCAUACAAAUUUUCUAAUCCAUUUUACCAAGCC